CCCACCCGCCCCGGAGGAGGAGGUCCCAGAGAACAGGCCGCCCACCUCGAGGGCUGACCACCCUCGUCUUUCACACUGCUACGGUGCUCGUUGUUCGGAUCCGUGAGUCGACCAGAACCCCAGCAUCACUACCACACUGCAAUUUGCUUCUGCCUCAAUGAUGAACAGAUUAGCACAGCGCACCAUCGAGCCACAGCCAGGAAGUGGCCUGAAACCUCAUGCAGGACCUGAGCAACCCAAGCAGGGUCCCGCCGUCCCUCACUUCCGGAUGACACAGAGGGAGAUGAAGUUGAAGCAGACAGCCCACGAGCCUGUGGUCAUGUCAUCCUCAGGGUCUUGCUAUAUAGUCCACACUGGCCUCAAACUCACAAUUCUGCUUUGGCCUCCUCAGUGCUGGGAUUACAGGAAUGGACCACCACACCCAGGUUCAGAAUAUUCUGUUUUUUCUGGAAAACAGAAUUACCCUCUUGUUUCAAUUAACAUAACAAUUCUGAUUACAUAACAGUAAACAUUUAAGUACCAAACCAGAAAAAAAAAUUGUUUUAAUAAAUUUUUUUCAUUUUCUUAG
rnacentral:lncRNA from 1 species